rnacentral:rRNA from 1 species
GACAGAGGAGCCAAGCGUUGUCCGGAUUGACUGGGCGUAAAGCGCACGCAGGCGGCCGUGCACGUGGGGUGUGAAAGCUGGCGGCUUAACUGCCAGACGCCACCUCAUACGGCACGGCUCGAGCCCGUGAGAGGUCCACGGAAUUGCCGGUGUACGUGGUGAAAUGCGUAGAGAUCGGCAGGAACACCCAGGGGGAAACCAGUGGACUGGCACGGUGCUGACGCUCAGGUGCGAAAGCGUGGGGAGCGAACCGG